rnacentral:rRNA from 1 species
GACGAACGCUGGCGGCGUGCUUAACACAUGCAAGUCGAGCGGUAAGGCCCUUUCGGGGGUACGACGAGCGGCGAACGGGUGAGUAACACGUGGGUGACCUGCCCUCAGCUCUGGGAUAAGCCUGGGAAACCGGGUCUAAUACUGGAUAUGACUCCAUGACGCAUGUUGUGGGGUGGAAAGCCUUGUGCGGCUGAGGAUGGGCCCGCGGCCUAUCAGCUUGUUGGUGGGGUGANGGCCUACCAAGGCGACGACGGGUAGCCGGCCUGAGAGGGCGACCGGCCACACUGGGACUGAGACACGGCCCAGACUCCUACGGAAGGGCAGCAGUGGGGAAUCUUGCGCAAUGGGCGAAAGCCUGACGCAGCGACGCCGCGUGAGGGAUGACGG